UACGAAGGGGGCUAGCGUUGCUCGGAAUUACUGGGCGUAAAGGGCGCGUAGGCGGAUAUUUAAGUUAGAGGUGAAAGCCCAGGGCUCAACCCUGGAAUAGCCUUUAAUACUGGAUAUCUUGAGUUCGGGAGAGGUGAGUGGAACUCCGAGUGUAGAGGUGAAAUUCGUAGAUAUUCGGAAGAACACCAGUGGCGAAGGCGACUCACUGGCCCGAUACUGACGCUGAGGCGCGAAAAGCGUGGGGAGCCAAACAG
rnacentral:rRNA from 1 species